rnacentral:piRNA from 1 species
UAGCAGUUUUCAGUGCUUUAAC